CUCGACAUUUAUUAUUGAAGAAACAAUACUUGUGACAAGAAAGAAGAUAAUUUCAAGUAUUGUAAAAGUUAUACAUUUAUCUCGCAUUUAAAACAUUAAUAAUCCUGUGUGACUUCUACGAUCGUUCUUCAGUUCAACGGAAACAUGUCCGACCUGUCUAAUAAAAGAUUGACAUAGAUGUAAGACAAAAAGCAAUCAAAACAACAUGAAGAAAAGAAGAUGCAGACUUGAAACAACAAGAUACAUAAUACGAUAAUUAGUACAGUAUAAAAAAGAAUGAAGAAGACUUUAGACUCUUAUUUAUCUUCUUGGUUUUCUCGAAUCGGCAAAUUUGUCGGUGAAUAUCCUCAACAUUGCAUCGCUGCCACCUUAUUAGUUACAGUGAUUUUAGG